GCUCGCUCGAGCUCGGCGCGGACCCGCCCGGGAGCGCUCCUCGCAGCAGCUGCCCGGGUUCCCACCGCCCUACCGGGCGCGAGCGAUCAGACUACCUCGGAGGGCGCGCUCAGACACCCAGAUGUCCGGCCACCUCAGUGGGUACCCUCGGCACCCUGUGAUCCGACCACCCGCGGAGGCGCGCUAGCCCUCUGGGUGGGCGUGCUGGGCUUCUCUGCGGCGGAAGUCUGGACCACAGAUUGUGACUUCUUUUCUAGCAGUAGGUGUUGACUGGUCCGACUGCUGCCCUUCUGCCCAAGAGUAGUUCAAACUGAAGGGAAGAAAACAUAUGUGCUGCUUGGUCUGCCAUCUUAAACCAGAAGUCUGAAAUACGGGUCUGAAUGCUGCUCGCAACGAUAUCUUACAUUGAGGAUAGCAGGCACCAGAGACUCUCUGCCAUAAACAUUUCCACAAGAAACUGCCUCCUCAGGCCCAUCAAAGUCUUCCAGGAUCACGCAGAGGACCACGCCACAGUCGGAAGUGAGGUAAACAAGUCUCCUCAUUGCUAUAUUUUGUAAUUAUCAGACAAGAGAGUGGAGUUCCCGCCUGAAGCCCCUCAGGCCUGUGUGAAGCUUAACCAUGUAUGUAAUCAAUGUAGGUGUGAUCAGUUUUCAGAUCCAUGCAAAUGUGAGCUGACUUUCCCCUGAUGUUUGCUGAGUGCAUGCCAACAGCAUUCUGCAUGGCUGACCUGCCUCAGCAACCAAAUCUCUGGAACUGCAUAUGCAGAGGCUCUGUGCUGUGGCCAUUUUAUAAAUGAGCCACGGGAAGGCCAGAGAAAGAAACAGCAUGCUCCAAGUCAGAGCAGAAGGCAGCUUCCCUAGGAUCUGUUUAACGUUUGCUUCUUUACAACACAGGAUCUCGUGAAACCCAAGCUAGCCUCAGACUCAACUGCAUAGCUGAGGAUACCCUUGAACUUGAUUCUCUAAUAUUUCUACCUCACACCCAGUUCAUGAGGUAAUGCGGAUAGAACCCAGGGCUUCCUGAAUACUAGGAAGGCACUCUACCAACUGAGCUACAUCCCCAGACCCUCCUCUGGGGAUAAGCCCAGGUUCAAAUCCAAGGCCUUAACAAUACCGGGACAGACAUAAGACACAGCACUCUACGAGACCUGGGCAUGCUCCUACCCUGUCUAGUGAUGGCAAAAGCCAUCUUUUUAACAGCCCACGUUAUGAUUCUACCAUCAGACCAGAGAGGCCCUAGAUAGCCCAGCUUCCCAUUGUAAGUCAUCUUCAACAUGUUUAACCGAUGGCUGUGUGGGACUGCUAGAAAGUUUGGAAAUCACCAAGAGCUUUGACUUUCCUGCCCACAAAAACAGUUGGCCUUGGCAGAUGUCCAAUGCGUUGACCUUAGAUCCAUUUAAUGAAAACCCUAUUAAUUCAAAAAGAAAGAAAGAAAAUAAGGCAAAAUAGGACAGGCAGUAGAAAGAUCUUUACAAAAAUCUUGUGUGUCCUUCUUCCACUGUUGCCUUGACCAGACAGGGCCACAAAGCUGAUACGACAGGAUUAGGACAAUUGCUUUGUUAACACACAAGCACAGCGUGACAUGAACUCCAGGAAAGGCAUUUGGCAGGAUUAACCUGCUGAGGAUAAAGAUGUAGCAGACAGGACCUGAAUUAAUGGACUGAUAUGGCCAAAGUGGAGAAAUCUAUUUGCAUGUAAUAUUAACUGUACUAAUAAACUCCAGGCGGGGAUCCAACAGCCCGGGAGCCUCUUUGAACCAGGACUUGAUUCCUGCACAUCCUAUCUCUGACAUCUGUUAAGAUGUGUGAGUGUAAGCCGGCUGCCUGCAAAUUACCACUCUGUCCUUGGUGCCUGCAAUAGCACAGGCCCUUUACUGACUCCAACUCAAGCAGAUCCCACUUACAAUAUUAUUUACAACCUAUGGAAAAGCAAUAAAGAAAUGCAGGUUCAACACAUGUAGAAAAUAUCCACCAGGGCCUGGAGAGAUGGCUCAGUAAUUAAGAGCCCUGGCUAUUCCUCCAGAGGACCCGGGUUCAAUUUGUAGCAUCCACGGGGCAGCUAAGAGUCAUCUAAAGCCCAUCUGAAGCCCUCUUCUGACAUCUGCAGGCAUGGUGCACACAUGGUACAUACAUACACAUGCAAAACACAUAAAAUAAAAAAAUAUAAAAUUUAAGAAGAAAAUGCCUACCUGACCCAGGCUGUUGGCCUGACGUGUAUAUUCUGAUUCCUUGAAAGUCUGUGUGGGGCUAGGGUGAGCAAGCAGACACCUGGGAUGUGACAUUUCAAGGAGGUACCACAGUCUGGCUCAGUCUCAGAACAAGGUGAGUGCCUAAAGAUUCAUGCAUUGCCCCUCAGACUGCCCUACUGCAGGUUACCAUAGGAACAGUAUAAUCUAUACCCAUUCAAAAUCAAUACACUUACAACAGAUAGCUGGAUGUUGGGCGGUGUGGUGGAGGAGAAGAAUGUCGGUGGGUGGGGACCUCCGAGGGGUCCUAUAAAAUACAUCUCAGAUCAUUGCAAUCAAAGAGCAAGAGAGCCUGGUAUUUAUCUACCAGCUCUUUACUGUAUCUGGCUCAGAGAGUAAUUCCCCACCAUGCAGACUAGACAUUCUCCCCCAAAGAAGCUAGGGAACCUAGAGCAAUAGCCUAUGUACAAGAAUGCCUAGGCCAUAUGGAGUGUAAAAAGGUGUGAGUCAGGGUGUGAGUGACACCCACUUAAAGUUCUUGUGUACUUCAACAAAGAACUGGACUAGGAACACUGAAUAAAGAUUG
rnacentral:lncRNA from 1 species